GCCCUUGUGAGUGUAUUAGUGUAAUUGAUUGCUAUCAUGUUCUGCCGGUGUGCUGAAGAGUGUGGGAAAGCCAGGGAGAUAUAUGGGCAGUAUAUGAGUGGAGUGGCAGUAUGUGAUUGGCAGUGUAUGAGUGGACUGGCAGUAUAUGAUUGGCAGUAUUGGACUGGCAGUAUAUGAUUGGCAGUAUAUGAUUGGCAGUAUGCGAAUGGCAGUUUAUGAUUGGCAGUAUAUGAUUGGCAGUAUGUGAUUGGAGUGGCAGUAUAUGAUUGGCAGUGUAUGAGUGGAGUGGCAGUAUAUGAUUGGCAGUAUAUGAUUGGCAGUAUAUGAGUGGAGUGGCAGUAUAUGAUUGGCAGUAUAUGAUUGGCAGUAUGCGAAUGGCAGUUUAUGAUUGGCAGUAUAUGAUUGGCAGUAUGCGAAUGGCAGUUUAUGAUUGGCAGUAUUUGAUUGACAGUAUAUGAGUGGAUUGGCAGUAUAUGAUUGACAGUAUAUGAGUGGAUUGGCAGUAUAUGAUUGGCAGUAUAUGAGUGGAUUGGCAGUAUAUGAUUGGCAGUAUAUGAGUGGAGUGGCAGUAUAUGAUUGGCAGUAUAUGAUUGGCAGUAUGCAAGUGGCAGUAUAUGAGUGACAGUAUAUGAUUGGCAGUAUGCAAGUGGCACUAUAUGAUUGGCAGUAUGUGAGUGACAGUAUGUGAGUUGCAGUAUGCAGGAGACGUUCUGGCCACGGCUCUGACCGCUAAAGGACCCCACAGGGAGAGCAGCACCUGGUCC
ensembl:lncRNA